rnacentral:piRNA from 1 species
AUUUUAAAUCCUGAGCCUAAUACCU